rnacentral:rRNA from 2 species
UUUAUGGAGAGUUUGAUCCUGGCUCAGGAUGAACGCUGGCGGCGUGCCUAAUACAUGCAAGUCGAGCGAACGGACGAGAAGCUUGCUUCUCUGAUGUUAGCGGCGGACGGGUGAGUAACACGUGGAUAACCUACCUAUAAGACUGGGAUAACUUCGGGAAACCGGAGCUAAUACCGGAUAAUAUUUUGAACCGCAUGGUUCAAAAGUGAAAGACGGUCUUACUGUCACUUAUAGAUGGAUCCGCGCUGCAUUAGCUAGUUGGUAAGGUAACGGCUUACCAAGGCAACGAUGCAUAGCCGACCUGAGAGGGUGAUCGGCCACACUGGAACUGAGACACGGUCCAGACUCCUACGGGAGGCAGCAGUAGGGAAUCUUCCGCAAUGGGCGAAAGCCUGACGGAGCAACGCCGCGUGAGUGAUGAAGGUCUUCGGAUCGUAAAACUCUGUUAUUAGGGAAGAACAUAUGUGUAAGUAACUGUGCACAUCUUGACGGUACCUAAUCAGAAAGCCACGGCUAACUACGUGCCAGCAGCCGCGGUAAUACGUAGGUGGCAAGCGUUAUCCGGAAUUAUUGGGCGUAAAGCGCGCGUAGGCGGUUUUUUAAGUCUGAUGUGAAAGCCCACGGCUCAACCGUGGAGGGUCAUUGGAAACUGGAAAACUUGAGUGCAGAAGAGGAAAGUGGAAUUCCAUGUGUAGCGGUGAAAUGCGCAGAGAUAUGGAGGAACACCAGUGGCGAAGGCGACUUUCUGGUCUGUAACUGACGCUGAUGUGCGAAAGCGUGGGGAUCAAACAGGAUUAGAUACCCUGGUAGUCCACGCCGUAAACGAUGAGUGCUAAGUGUUAGGGGGUUUCCGCCCCUUAGUGCUGCAGCUAACGCAUUAAGCACUCCGCCUGGGGAGUACGACCGCAAGGUUGAAACUCAAAGGAAUUGACGGGGACCCGCACAAGCGGUGGAGCAUGUGGUUUAAUUCGAAGCAACGCGAAGAACCUUACCAAAUCUUGACAUCCUUUGACAACUCUAGAGAUAGAGCUUUCCCCUUCGGGGGACAAAGUGACAGGUGGUGCAUGGUUGUCGUCAGCUCGUGUCGUGAGAUGUUGGGUUAAGUCCCGCAACGAGCGCAACCCUUAAGCUUAGUUGCCAUCAUUAAGUUGGGCACUCUAAGUUGACUGCCGGUGACAAACCGGAGGAAGGUGGGGAUGACGUCAAAUCAUCAUGCCCCUUAUGAUUUGGGCUACACACGUGCUACAAUGGACAAUACAAAGGGCAGCGAAACCGCGAGGUCAAGCAAAUCCCAUAAAGUUGUUCUCAGUUCGGAUUGUAGUCUGCAACUCGACUACAUGAAGCUGGAAUCGCUAGUAAUCGUAGAUCAGCAUGCUACGGUGAAUACGUUCCCGGGUCUUGUACACACCGCCCGUCACACCACGAGAGUUUGUAACACCCGAAGCCGGUGGAGUAACCUUUUAGGAGCUAGCCGUCGAAGGUGGGACAAAUGAUUGGGGUGAAGUCGUAACAAGGUAGCCGUAUCGGAAGGUGCGGCUGGAUCACCUCCUUUCU